GACGAACGCUGGCGGCGUGCUUAACACAUGCAAGUCGAACGGUAAGGCCCUUCGGGGUACACGAGUGGCGAACGGGUGAGUAACACGUGGGUGAUCUGCCCUGCACUUCGGGAUAAGCCUGGGAAACUGGGUCUAAUACCGGAUAGGACCACUGCCUGCAUGGGUGGUGGAAAGCUUUUGCGGUGUGGGUUGGGCCCGCGGCCUAUCAGCUUGUUGGUGGGGUGAUGGCCUACCAAGGCGACGACGGGUAGCCGGCCUGAGAGGGGGACCGGCCACACUGGGACUGAGAUACGGCCCAGACUCCUACGGGAGGCAGCAGUGGGGAAUAUUGCACAAUGGGCGCAAGCCUGAUGCAGCGACGCCGCGUGAGGGAUGACGGCCUUCGGGUUGUAAACCUCUUUCAGCACCGACGAAGCGCAAGUGACGGUAGGUGCAGAAGAAGGACCGGCCAACUACGUGCCAGCCGCCGCCGUAA
rnacentral:rRNA from 1 species